rnacentral:rRNA from 1 species
UUCUCAGUUCGGAUCGGAGUCUGCAACCCGACUCCGUGAAGCUGGAUUCGCUAGUAAUCGCGCAUCAGCCAUGGCGCGGUGAAUACGUUCCCGGGCCUUGUACACACCGCCCGUCAAGCCAUGGAAGCCGGGGGCGCUUGAAGUGCGUUGCCGCAAGGCGCGCCCUAGAGCGAAACCGGUGACUGGGGCUAAGUCGUAACAAGGUAGC